AUGUGGAUCGGCUGGUGUGCGGUCAUUUGUCUCUUGGAAGUAGGUGGCUCCAAUGCAGAUGUCGUCCAACCCUGGAGCAUGGUGCGGCGAGAAGGCCAAACCGUCACCAUGGAGUGCACCCAAAACAAUGGGCAUGAGACCAUGCUUUGGUAUCGGCAGGCAGGAGGGCAGGGGCUGCAGCUCCUCUAUAACUUCUAUUAUAAGCAACUUCAAGAGAAUGGCACGCAGUCUGACCGUUUCUCAGCCGAGCAGCCUGAAACAGACACAUGUCACCUGAUCAUCUCUUCGGCAAAGCCAGAGGAUUCGUCUGUGUAUUUCUGUGCAAGCAGAUCAGACACAGCACUUCAAAGUAACCUCUUCCCCCUACAAAAACUUGUUUCAUCAGUAUGUGCGGGGACAGAGCUGA